UUCCGUUUAAAUCCCCAUUCCUAAUUUCCAUUUGUCAAUUGUCUGACGGCGCCUUCUUCUUCGUUCGCCAUUUCGGAACUACCUGAUGUCGCCUCCUACAGCCACAAGCCAUGGCCGUAUCAAGAUUACCUGGUUUUCUUAACGAGAACAUCUCCAAUCAUUCCUUGUUCUUCAGAGAAGAUCAUGAGAUUCUUCUCCGAAGUCAACACUUAACAAGCUGCGUACAAAAAGAUGGAAGCCCCAUAGUUUAUCGCUACUCUCCAGAAAACCAUCUCAAGCCUGCGGAUGCUUGCCACUGUACCGAAUGCAGAGAUUUUCACAGGUAGGCUCUAAAUUCUUCGAAAAAGAUCCAGCAGAGUGGCUGAAUUGGAAGCUCUGAUGGCUCGGUUCCAAGCUAAAGUAGAGACAAAGGACGAGCUGAGGUCAUGAGAAGAAGUGUAAGAGGAAAGUGAUUUAAAGAAACAUUAUGACUGUGAUGAUAAUCAAUCAAGUUCAUGAAUUUUGUAGGGUAGAACAAGAAAGUCCAUGACUCUUUUGAAUUGGCAUCUGUAAGGAACCAGAAUAAGGUGAAUUCUGCUGCUUUGCCUUCUGCUCUGAAUCAGAUACAAUGGCUACCCAUGGUGAUAUGAUAUUCGAAUCUCGACAUUUUGAACCCAGAAUCUGAAUCUCAGAUGCCCAAGGAAGUUAGUAGAGUUCAAAUGAUGUUUGAAGAUGUGAAGACUAUUGAAGAAGCAUUAAGAUUGAAACCAGCUGGUGCUGCAAAAUUGUAUGAAUCUUUUCUGGUGGAGUUGAGGGAGUCCAAGGGCAGAGCAAAUACAAUGGAAGCGUUGGUCGGGAAGUUCCAGAAUGAUUGAUGUUAAGACUGUUAAUGAAUUGAGGGAUGAAUGCUUCCAGAGCAGAGCUCAAUGCAGAUUGAAACGCACACAAAGGUUUAUUUAACUAGUAUGAUUUGAAGCUGCAAGAAUCCAUAUAUGAACUUGAAGAAUUGGAUGCAAAACUGAUUGGGUUCUUGUAAGAACAGUUUGUACCAAGUGGGGCAAUGCAAUGAAUACAAACAAACUGAGAAAAACUGAAGUAGAUAGAACAAGAAUCAAGGAAUUCAAUAAGAGAGAUGGCAACAUGUUGAGGAAGAUCUUUCAGGUAUGUUCCGUCUUGCGGAGUCGAGCGUGUCGCUCUCGCUACUGGUUCAUCUCCUCGAAGACAAGUUCUGCAACCAUGGCAGCCUAUGCAGAUGAUGUGUUCGAUUGAAAAUUUCCUACCUGAAUUGCCUGAUGCUAUGGUGAUGGGUUCUUGGCUUGCAGCAGUAAAGAGGUCCAGGCUAGUCCUGUGAAUGAUUCAAGUGUUGUUUUAAUAUUCCAACCAAGUAAGCAAGCGUUUGGAUCCCAUUUCCGCAGCUUCUAGAUGGAUAUAUCAUUCAUGGUUAUCAGCAAGAGCCAGCCAACACAUGAAAAUUCAGAACAUAAAGUUGAUAAACAAGGUAACGACUAACAAGUUUGCAUGAAUGCUAGUAAGAAUAGUUGUGAACUCAUCAGUUCAGUGGGGCAGCCAGGAGGCUUCGGGUAGGAGUAUAUUUAUAUGAUGUUAUUAUAUUAAUCUCCUCAGAAGCCCAUCCGAUGCUGAUAGGAAAGAGAGCCCCCGUCGGAGGGUAGAGAUUUAUUCUUCAUUUUUAUUUUUUAGGGUAGAGAAUUAUUAUUAUUCAUUUUUCUUGGAUAGCUAUUUUGCUAAUCGGUUAAGUUAAUAAAUGUAUAAUAAUAAUCAUAACCUGAUUAAUUAGACUGAAAAUGGAAUGGGCUGGAUGAGCCUUGAUGGAAGCACGUGGGCUUGUCGGGUCACGGGUGAAAAUAUUGUGGCCCUGUCAGAUCGUUCGUGCCCGACAGGCGUUGACCAAUCGCACGUGGGUAUGUCCAGUCCCGACCAACAGCACGUGGCCCUGUCGGGUCUUUGCAGAGAGCAUGUGUAUCUGUCGGCACCUGACCAACCGCACUUGGGCCUGCGGGAUGGGCCUACACUAACAUUACAUUGGGCCGUGAGGGCCAUAACAACUGUUCGUGGAUCUGUCGGGAUCUGCACGGAUAGCACGUGCUUCUGUCGGCGUGUUUGCGACAUUCAGGUGCCUUAUAAAUGGGCCUGCUCCGACCUUACAAUUGGGCCGCGAGAGACGCGACAUUGGGCUAGAUGGGCCUUGACAGCUACACGUGGGUCUGUUGGUGUCUGGGCAGGCAGCAUGUGAUCCUGUCGGGUGUUCAGAGACAAUUUUUGGGCCUGUUAAAUGGGCUUCCGCUGACAUUACAUUGGGCUAUGUAGCCCAUACAGAAACAACAUUUGGGCCAAAUGGUCCAGGACCACUGCACGUGCGCUUCUGAUUUGGAGAGACAGACAGAUGUACUUUUGUCGACCGCUAGGCGACAGCUGAUGCGAUUGCACGUGAUUGGAAUCUAAUAAGCAGACAGCACGUGAUCUUGUCAGGUGUUAGGAGACAGCUAUUGGGCUUGUCAAAUAGGCUUGUGCUGACAUAAUAUUGGGCUAUACAGCCCACUCAGAAAAAACAUUGGGCCUGAUGGUCCAUGACAACUAGACGUGGGCUUUGGCAGACAGCAUGUGCUUCUGUCGGCUUCUGAGUACACGUGGAUAGGAUUUUAGGCAGACAGCACGUGUUCAUGUCGGCUCGUUGGACGCAAUGUUUGGGUCUGUCGAAUGGGCCUAUAUUGACAGUGUUGGCCUCAACUGAGCCUGGGCCAUAUUCAAUUGGGCCUUUUGGGCUUUGGGUAAACAGUAUGUUCUUUUGUCUGCUGUUGGAUAGUAAUCAUUGGGCCGGUUGGAGUUGGCCUGUGCAGGUAAUAUAUCAGGACGUAAGGGCUUAUUCUGCAGGAUGGGCUUUUUGACCAUGGCAAGUAGGUCCGUCGUGCCGUUGGCAGGCAGCACGUGGGCUUCUAGCGUCUCUGUCGACCUCACGUGGGCAUGUCUGUAAUGUAAGACAAGUGGGGCUAUUGAAUGGGCUUCUGCAACCUAAUAUUGGGCCAGAUGCUCAUUAUACACAGGGCGGGUCAAAUGGGAAUGGCUUUUAAAAAGCAUGCCAGCACUGGCACAAGACGUAGAUACUAUUUACAUUCACAUUUUUUAUAUAAUAUAUUUUUUAUGUAUCAACUGUACUUAUUUUAAAAAAGAAAAACGUCAAAUACAUUUAC